AUCCAGCCUUUGAGAACGCCUUGAAUCUCCGGGCAAGUUAAGUUUAUCACCGAGGCUCGGAACUGCGAGGAGAUGGCGGGUUAGUUAGGUAGUGAUGUAGGCGGGAGUGCAGUUUGCGCCACUCCGCCAAUAAGAGGAAGAGGGUGUGUUAUAUGCAAAUAACAUUGACCGGCCUGGCUCGGUGCAAGCCACGCCCCCCGAGUUCUCUGCAGAAAUGGUGAGAAGAGCUCCAGUGACUGAUGGAAGCCAUUCAUUUAACCUGAAGUAAUCCGUGUUUUCUGUGCCUCUGAAUGUGCCAAGUUCUGUGUCUAUGAUGGCAAACUUAUUACAGGCUUCAUGAUGGCAAUUUUAUUCAUCGUUCUAUCCUCAAUACAAUAAUUUUGGGGACAAAGAAAUCAAUGUUAAAAGUCAGCACCAAAAAGUCUUCCAGUCUAUGCCAUAGGAAUAGUGAAUGCUCCUCAGUGAAAAUAUCUAAUAUGAAGAUCUUAGUAUGUGAAAUGAAGCCAGUUUAAGUGAAUUCAUUUUGGUGAAAGUGAGAGAAAACUGCAUGUGCCUAAGACACACAUCGGAAGCAAAAGAACUGAGGGUCAGGGGACACAUGACUGCACAACGACCACAAAGGGAAAAGAGGCAGCUAUUGAGAAGAUGAGAAAAACAUAUAUGCAAAAUGUAUGAAAUCAACUAUGUAUAUUGUGAAUCAUAAGCACAGUACUGUGUUUUGGACCUGUAGUCACAAAGAUUGAGAUAGAAAAUAAAA